rnacentral:lncRNA from 1 species
AAAAUGAUAAUGAAUUUCAUAGAACCUGCCUUAGAUUUUACUGAAGGUGUAAGGAGGAAGCAGCCACAAACUAACUUGAGGAGGCAGUGGGGAGAAAAAUAAACUUAUCUUGAAACUGUACUUUAUGGAUUCCUAUUGUUCAGUGUGCCAAGUAUGUCUGUUUAAUACAUUUUAUGCAAUAAGCAUUAAUUUUUAAAAUCCUUUUAAGUUUUAUUGAAGUAUAGUUGAUUUACAAGAUGAUGAUAAUUUCUGCUACAGCAAAGUGAUUCCAUCAUACAUAUACACAUAUCCAUUCUCUCUCAGAUUUUUUUCCCCACAGAGGUUAGCACAGACUACUGGGUAGAGUUCUAGCAUUAAUUUUUCAGUAAAAAGAAUAAGCUAAAAAUAACUUUUAGCAGAGUUAUCGGAUUAACCAAACUGACAAUGUCCUCCACAAGGCACAUGUAUGUUUUAUGGCUACGCAACUGCUAUUGAACAUCUUCUGGUCUUUGGAUACUUCCCACAUUAUGACUCCUGUCUAUCCAAGUGACAAGCCAGAUAUCCACUUUCCCAGGCUUCCUUGCAACAUACAUGUGACCUUGGCUUAACACCAAUCAAACGCAUCUACGUGAAAGUCUGCAGGUACCAAAAGCAGGUUCGGUUUUCUGAUGUGAGAAGCAGUGGAAUUCUUUUGUUUUCUUGGGAAUCAGUGGGUGGGAUUUUCAUGCCCAGCAUCAGCACUGUGAGCAGCCGUGUCUGUGCCCAGCGAGGGCAAGAACCAUGACGUCAUCAGGGCUCCUACAUGGUGUGAUUGGUGUUACUCCUGGCUGGUAGCCUCCACAUCCGGCCCUUUCAAAUUCCAUGAACUAACUAGUGCUUUUUAAUUCACAGUUUUUCUACUUACACUAGCCAGAGUAGAUUUUUUUUAUUUGCACAACUGGAGGAGGAGAUACCCUGGGCAAACUAUCCUUCACUCUUCUCUCCAUGGAAAUGUAUGCCUUGAAUUACUGGAGUCUGAUGUCAUUGAAACUUUUAACUUACUCUCUUGCUCAUAGAGGGCUUCAUGAUUAUCAUUUGUGUCUGCUGGGAGAAAAUGCAUUGAAAAUGCUGAUGUGUUCUAAGCACUAAAACAGUUAUGCUUCUCAUUUUUAAUUCAUAAAUUAUAAUUCUGAUUUUUGUAGAAGUUUUUUUGUGAGCUUGCUUUAUUAUGAAUUAGUCCUAAGAGAGGAAUUUACUCUCUGUGUGCUGACAAAAUCAAAUUGCUGAACUUAAAAGCUAAGAUCACAAACUGGGUCUCAUUAUGUAUAUUUUGAGUUAGUUGACCUCUUGUAAAGACACAUCCAAGCCCAUUUCUUGGUGACUCUUUGAUAUUGCCAUGAUAUUUUUCUUUCAAUAUUUGUAGUUAUUCAUAGAGGUUUAAGAAUGACCUUUGUGACUCUUUUUGGACAUGUUGAAUGUAUUAACAAAAUAUACCAUUAAAAAAGAUGGGGCAAGAACUCUCUCAUAGCUCAGUGGGUUAAGGAUCUGGCAUUGUCACUGCAGCAGCUUGGGUCACUGCUCUGUCAUCAGGCCAGUUCAAUCCUUGGACCAGGAACUUCCACAACAUGCCGUGGGCAAGGGGGGAGAAAAAGCAGCUCACCUAUAAUAGAGUUUUUUAUAAAUAAUGUUUAAAAUUUUUAAUUUGAUCCAAGUAGCUAUCUCCUCUUCAUGAGCUCAUCCAACCUGAAAGAAGAAUAAAGAACCAGACUCUUUAUUAGAAUUAAAUUCAGAUUUACAGUUUUACAUGUCAAGUGGGAAAGUGGAGCAAUGGAAAGAAGUCAAUUUGAACAUGGAGUAGAUAAUCUCCCCCAGAUAACAGGACAGACCUUCACUCUGCAGAAGUCUCUUUACAGGAAUAAUUCCCCUGUAACAUUCUUUUCAAAAAGCCUAUUGAGUGUUAUGGGCCUCUUUGUACCCAAUCUAUAUUCUCUCAUUUGGUCAGUACAUCACAGUUUCUUCCAUAGUCUUUCAAGUAAUUGAAUCAACUUAAAGAAUUCGCCUGGUGACCAAGAAAUAAGCUGCUUGUUGAGAAAUAGUGAUUUAGAUUUAAUGAUUGUGAUUCAGUCUCAAAAGAUUCUUCUAUGAAAAGCAUGAAGUGAAAGUGUUCAAGGACACUUCAGAGAAUUAACAGUAACAUUGAAAAUGGUAGGGAGUAGAAAGUGCCAGACCUAUAAAAGCCCCAAAAGUCAUGUAGGAAGUAUUAUAAAUAAUUCUAGCUAUCAGAAAGUGGGCAGUAGGUUCUAUUAUAGCAAAUGCAUUCUACAAUAAUCAUUAAAAUCAGGACAUUUCAGUCAAUUGGUCUAAAAUAUGAUGGAACAAAAUCAAUUGAUAGAAUGAUUUUGGUGUAUAUGAAUAAAUAGCUAUUUAAAAAAGAUACUGGAGAAUAUGUGGAGUAACUGAAAUUCUCUUACAUUGCUGGUGAGAGUGAAGAAUACAGCAAUUGCAUUUGUAAUAUUACCUGUCAGUAUCCACGAUAAUGAAUAUAUGCCUGACCCCAGUCUCAACCAUGCUACUCUUAUACUUAAGAGAAUGAAUGCAUACAUCCAUAUGCAGCAGUGUUCAUAGCAGCUUUAUUCAUAAUAACCUAACUGGAACAACAACCAAAAUCUCCAUCAAUAGGAAUGGAAGUAAAUUGUGGACUAUUCAUAUAAUGUAAUACUAAAUAGAAAAAAAAACAAGAAGAAAUUCUAGGUAUACAUAAUAACAUAGAUAAAUUUCAUAGGUAUAAGAGUGAAAGAAGCUAGAAACUAAAGAGUAUAAACUGUAUGAUUAUAUUUUUAUGGAGUAUAAGAAUAAAGAAAACUAAGUUAUAGAUUUAGAAGUCAGAAUAAUGAUUACCUCUGAGUGAAGAUUUGACUAGGAGGGGGCACAUAGCACAUUUCUUAGAUUCUAGGAAUAUUCUCUAUCUUGACAAGACAGUGGUUGCACAGGUAAACACAUAUGAAAAAUUCAUUGAAUUGUAUAAUUAGAUAAGUUAAUCUAAGUCUGAUCUAAUUAGUGCUAUGAAACAAUUAAAAAGUUCAUCAUAAAAGUCAGUAUUCAGAGAAGAAAACAUGCUUGAUUGCAUCUCUCUUUUUUCUCCCAUUUCUCAACUAGAUACUUUAAGCUUAGUGAAGAAAUAAUUAUAUUAUCAAAUAGAUAUUAUUAAAUAGAGCCAAAGGCCAAUUGGCUGUUUAGGCACAGUUCAGGUGCUGGAUUGUUGUAAGUCACAGAAACUCAUUUUGAUCUAGGCAAGUUCUCAAAACAUCUUACCUCUCAUAGAGCAACUUCUUGUCAAGCUAUUGGAGCAGUUACUCAGUCAGUCUACAAAGAGGAAAACAUAUCAUCCAUAAAACAGAUGAUUCCACACAGGAGAAGGGAGAGGGUUUAAUGAUUAAGGAAAGCCCCCAGGUAGUCCUCUGGAUGUCCAGGUGGGGGAGAGGGAGAGGGGAGAGAUAGACUAGGUCACACAGCAUACCUUGGAGCAGAAGGGCCAAAGCACUAGGAAGAAU